GAUGAACGCUGGCGGCGUGCCUAAUACAUGCCAGUCGAGCGAACGGACGAGAAGCUUGCUUCUCUGAUGUUAGCGGCGGACGGGUGAGUAACACGUGGAUAACCUACCUAUAAGACUGGGAUAACUUCGGGAAACCGGAGCUAAUACCGGAUAAUAUUUUGAACCGCAUGGUUCAAAAGUAAAAGACGGUCUUGCUGUCACUUAUAGAUGGAUCCGCGCUGCAUUAGCUAGUUGGUAAGGUAACGGCUUACCAAGGCAACGAUGCAUAGCCGACCUGAGAGGGUGAUCGGCCAGACUGGAACUGAGACACGGUCCAGACUCCUACGGGAGGCAGCAGUAGGGAAUCUUCCGCAAUGGGCGAAAGCCUGACGGAGCAACGCCGCGUGAGUGAUGAAGGUCUUCGGAUCGUAAAACUCUGUUAUUAGGGAAGAACAUAUGUGUAAGUAACUGUGCACAUCUUGACGGUACCUAAUCAGAAAGCCACGGCUAACUACGUG
rnacentral:rRNA from 1 species